GCAAGAUCAAAACUCAAAGGAAUAGACGGGGACCCGCACAAGCGGUGGAGCAUGUGGUUUAAUUCGACGAUACGCGAAGAACCUUACCUGGCCUUGACAUAGAAAGAACUUUCCAGAGACGGAUUGGUGCUAGUUUACUAGAGCUUUCAUACAGGUGCUGCACGGCUGUCGUCAGCUCGUGUCGUGAGAUGUUGGGUUAAGUCCCGCAACGAGCGCAACCCUCGUGUUUAGUUACUAACAGUUCGGCUGAGGACUCUAAACAGACUGCCUGGGUAACCAGGAGGAAGGUGAGGACGACGUCAAGUCAUCAUGGCCCUUACGGCCAGGGCUACACACGUGCUACAAUGGGGUAUACAAAGAGCUGCAAUACGGUGACGUGGAGCAAAUCUCAUAAAAUAUCUCCCAGUUCGGAUUGAAGUCUGCAACUCGACUUCAUGAAGUUGGAAUCGCUAGUAAUCGUAGAUCAGCAAUGCUACGGUGAAUACGUUCCCGGGUCUUGUACUCACCGCCCGUCACACCAUGGGAAUUGAAUUCAUUCGAAGCGGGGAUGCUAAAAUAGCUACCUUCCACAGUGGAUUUAGUAACUAGGGUGAAGUCGUAACAAGGUA
rnacentral:rRNA from 1 species